CCCGACCCCACGGCCUGGCACCCUCCCGCAUCCCACUUGCAGGGCGGGCCGGGGCUCUGCGCCGGGGCUCCGGGGAGCCGGAUCUGGUGCCCGGGUGAGGCACACUCCUACUUUGGCACUUUCUAUUGUUGCACCAUUUUCUUACUUUUUGCAAAGGAUUGCUGAGUUCUCUCGAGCGUUAGUGAAUGAGGGCUUUUGCGGCUGAAGGAUAUAUAGCUAUUGCUUCACAGGUGAACACGGGGAAUUUAAAUGACUGUGUCAUCAAGAUUAUGUAGGAAAUCUUUGGGCCAACAAAGCCCUCUUCCUCCUGCAAGCAAAACACUCUCUUUUAUCACAAGGCUUAUUUUCUCAGGUAACAUACAGCAUCUUCCUUUCAAAGAAGCCUUACAAGACUAAAUGAACUAUUUGAUUAUGUAGCAAUAUCUGUGAGCAUCUUGCUCUGCCUCAGGAUGCAGACAGAUGCUUACACUGGACUAAAACCAGGAAUUAAAGUAUGCAAUGAAAGAAAAAGCAAAUGGUAAAACUCUGGUCAUGGUACAAAUAAUGGGUUUUCCAUGGAUUUUUUUGAAAUCAGGAUUUCAUACAGGGAAAAUACUGAAUCAGUUCUGAACAGAAAAAAAUGUCUGCCCUGGAAUCAGUUUAGUACUGUACCCAGAAGCAUCCAUGGGCAAAAUGGUCAUGAUCCUCUUCUCAGUCACGCAGGUAUACGUCAGCCGUACAUUUAUCUAAACUCAUGAAGUUGCAACAGUUACACAAGAGGAAAAUCAAUUGCUUCCAUGUGUUUCCCCCUAACCUCUUAAUUAAGCUUUGUUUUCAUUGAUAAGUUUGUUCACAAGCAGUUCAAACCAUUAGUAUUGCUGCACACAAGCAUGCAGUACUACCGCCUGGUUCACUAUUUGUUGUAGUUUUCAUGCAUUACCAUGAAUACAAAUAGUGCUCUCUGUUCAUCUUCUUUUUCUUGCAGUAACACUUAAGAUGUCACUUGAUUUUUCUUCCCUUGCAUCUCAAAAUUAAUUUGGACAAGCAUCCUAGAAAAAGGUGAAGGAGAAAGGUUUGAAACUAGAUUUUCUUAAAGUAACAAGAACAAAAAAAACCCCCAUAGACUCACUAAUUUCAAUCAUGGCAAAUGUUGAGUGUUUCUGGGGGGAUAUGACCACUCUUGACCCAACUGACCCCAACCUGAAAUGCUGAGGAAUGUGCUGUGGCUCAGCUUGAGAGAAACCAUGAAAAAGGGACUGAUACCAUGACUUAGCUAAAGGCUGCACCACUACUGACUUCAGAUUGGGUCAGGAAGCAAAUGAGAAAUAAAAGAUCUUAUUGGUAAACAAGUGCAGCUCAUGGAUUUGUGUGCCUGACCAGAUACCAUGCUGGGGGUACUGUUUGUCUCUGACAUUCCCCAAAAUCAAAGUUUUAUUUGUAUUGCAUUCAUUCUUACUUUUUCCUGGGUAAUAAUGUAUGCAAUCCAAAAUUUCAAAGACCACAUAUGUGUUUCAGAAAUAUGGGGAAGAACAAACAACUCAGAGCUCCUUCAUGUUAUGUAACAUAGGCAGAUGAUAAUAUAGAUAUGAAUUUUGACAGGCUUGAAAUUAUGCAAGCUACACACAUACUCUGGAUUUUAAUCCUCUGCCUUUGCACUUUUCAUUCACAUGAGCAAAUUCCACCAGAGUCAGUUAGACUACUCUCGUUACUAAAUCACAUAUAUAAGGGAUACCUUGAAGAGCCAAGUCCUAAAUUUUGCGUAUUAAAUAAAACUCUAAAAAUACAUUUAGAAAUAACCUUGAAGUUGGUAAUACUAAGACUGGGUAAAAAUCAUUCUUUUCCCUCUGUCUUUUCAAGCCUAGGCAGUUCUGUGAAUUAAUUUUUUCCCUGCUUAUUUUUUCCCCAAAUCCUCUCACAGGGUUAUUAAUAGAGGGAAAGGCAGGGUUCAUGAAGUCACAAGGAGCCCCACAGAGAUAAAUCUGUGUAAUUUUACAAUGGAAACUGACAGUUUUUGCGUGUGUAUUUCAGCUACAUGUUUUCCAAAAUCUGAUCAUAGAUAUCAGUAUUGAGUACAUGCAAAACACACCCAUGUCUUCGAAAUUUCUGAUAAAUGCUUGUGGAAAAUCUAUUCAAUCUGUAAAAUAUAAGGACAUUCCAAAGUUAGCUACCAUUUGAGAAGCAGAAUCAAAGCAUUCCACCUUUAUCCUCAUGUUUGAUUUUGCAGCAUUAUUUGCUAUGUGUUUUUGUGCCAUAGUCUUUUGUGGGCAACUUAUAACUUGAGUGUGUGAUUUUAGACUGGAUUAUGAACUGCUUUCCUUUUAUAUCCUGUAAUAUCACCUGACCAGUAUCAGUGGGUCACAGCAUAAUUAGAUUAACAUUGGAUACACUUUUCUCUGAAGCAGCUGCAUCAUUGUUGUGCUAAGUAGGGCAAAUGCACUAAGUAUAUUUACAAUUUGAUGAUUAAUUGCCUCCAAUAUGUAGGAACUCAGGCAAAACCAUGAAUGAAACCUGCUUUCAUCAGUGAGUUUCAGCUUACAACAGUCAGUGUGCUUGUUCUCAGUAAAACCUACUUUGCUAGAUUUAAUGUGACAUUUUUUCUGCUGUCAGAACACUUCUGGGUUGUUUUCAAGGGUUUAUUUUUUGCUUGUUUGUUGUUUUUCAUGGCCUAGAAAGAGGCAUAUGCUCCAAAACAGCAACAUCUAAUGCAAAAUAAUCACAUACGAGAGCACUGCACUUACAGCUCACAGCAGAUCAUGUUUGAAUGAUCCUUAUUAGCCUGUACAGAAGAAUGAAGGGGAUAAACAUCUCCAGUUCAGCUUCUUAAUGCACUUCUCAACACAGUCAAUGACAUCAUUGGAACAGGGAAGAGAAUGAGGCAAAACUAGAACUGUUCAAGGGAUUCUUCUUUUUUCAGGAGGCAGAGAAGGUGGAGGGUAGAACAGCGUCUCCUUACCUUUUCCUUAUUUCCAGAAUAUCUGGCUAUGCAUGAGAUAAACUAGAGUGUUUCACAUAAAAAUUGAGAUUUAGUAAACAGAAAAGAAAUUAUACUUUUUAAUUAGUGCUUGCGUUGAUGGAAACUCCAAAUCUGAAAAUCCUUACUCAGCUCCUGCCUGGCCCUCUGUUCCUGCAGGCACUUUGUUAACAUCAUGUUAACAUGACGUGUUAUGGGUCCAGGCAAGUGGGCAGUGCCGUGGGUGGGGAAUGGACUGAAAGGCAGCACCCACUGUGUGGUGGAAAAUGUCUCCUUUUCAAAGUGGCAACCUGUCACAAGUGGGGUCCCCAAGGGAUUGAUUUUGGGCUCACACAGCUUAAUAUCUUUGAAA